UGGAGCCAGGUGGCUGAGAGGGUCUUAGUGGAGCCGGCUGAGUGAGAGGGUCUUAGUGGAGCCGGCUGAGUGAGAGGGCCCUAGUGGAGCCAGGUGGCUGAGAGGGCCCUAGUGGAGACAGGUGGCUGAGAGGGCCCUAGUGGAGACAGGUGGCUGAGAGGGCCCUAGUGGAGACAGGUGGCUGAGAGGGCCCUAGUGGAGCAGGCUGGCUGAGAGGCCCCUAGUGGAGCCGGGUGACUGAGAGGGCCCUUUUGGAGACAGGUGGCUGAGAGGGCCCUAGUGGAGCCGGAUGGCUGAGAGGGCCCUAGUGGAGAAAGCUGGCUGAGAGAGCCCUAGUGGAGCCGAGUGACUGAGAGGGCCCUAGUGGAGAAAGCUGAGUGAGAGGGCCCCAGUGGAGAAAGCUGAGUGAGAGGGCCCCAGUGGAGCAGGCUGAGUGAGAGGGCCCUAGUGGAGCCAGGUGGCUACGAGGGCCCUAGUGGAGCCAGGUGGCUGAGAGGGCCCUAGUGGAGACAGGUGGCUGAGAGGGCCCUAGUGGAGACAGGUGGCUGAGAGGGCCCUAGUGGAGCAGGCUGGCUGAGAGGCCCCUAGUGGAGCCGGGUGACUGAGAGGGCCCUUUUGGAGACAGGUGGCUGAGAGGGCCCUAGUGGAGCCGGAUGGCUGAGAGGGCCCUAGUGGAGAAAGCUGGCUGAGAGAGCCCUAGUGGAGCCGAGUGACUGAGAGGGCCCUAGUGGAGAAAGCUGAGUGAGAGGGCCCCAGUGGAGAAAGCUGAGUGAGAGGGCCCCAGUGGAGCAGGCUGAGUGAGAGGGCCCUAGUGGAGCCAGGUGGCUACGAGGGCCCUAGUGGAGCCGGGUGACUGAGAGGGCCCUAGUGGAGCCGGGUGACUGAGAGGGCCCUAGUUGAGCAGGCUGGCUGAGAGGCCCCUAGUGGAGCCGGGUGACUGAGAGGGCCCUUUUGGAGACAGGUGGCUGAGAGGGCCCUAGUGGAGCCGGAUGGCUGAGAGGGCCCGAGUGGAGCCAGCUGACUGAGAGGGUCCAAGUGGAUCCUGGUGGCUGAGAGGGCCCUAGUGGAGCCGGCUGAGUGAGAGGGCCCUAGUGGAGAAAGCUGGCUGAGAGGGCCCUAGUGGAGCCGGGUGACUGAGAGGGCCCUUUUGGAGACAGGUGGCUGAGAGGGCCCUAGUGGAGCCGGAUGGCUGAGAGGGCCCUAGUGGAGCCAGCUGACUGAGAGGGUCCAAGUGGAUCCUGGUGGCUGAGAGGGCCCUAGUGGAGAAAGCUGGCUGAGAGGGCCUCAGUGGAGCAGGCUGGCUGACAGGGUCCAAGUGGAGAAAGCUGGCUGAGAGGGCCUCAGUGGAGCAGGCUGGCUGAGAGGGUCCAAGUGGAGACAGCUGGCUGAGAGGGCCCUAGUGGAGCCGGCUGAGUGAGAGGGCCCUAGUGGAGACAGGUGGCUGAGAGGCCCCUAGUGGAGCCGGGUGACUGAGAGGGCCCUUUUGGAGACAGGUGGCUGAGAGGGCCCUAGUGGAGCCGGACUGCUGAGAGGAUCCAAGUGGAUCCUGGUGGCUGAGAGGGCCCUAGUGGAGCCAGCUGGCUGAGAGGGUCCAAGUGGAGCCAGCUGGCUGAGAGGGUCCAAGUGGAGCCAGCUGGCUGAGAGGGUCCAAGUGGAGACAGUUGACUGAGAGGGCCCCUGUGGAGCCGGCUGAGUGAGAGGGCCCUAGUGGAGAAAGCUGGCUGAGAGAGCCCUAGUGGAGAAAGCUGAGUGAGAGGGCCCUAGUGGAGAAAGCUGAGUGAGAGGGCCCCAGUGGAGAAAGCUGAGUGAGAGGGCCCCAGUGGAGCAGGCUGAGUGAGAGGGCCCUAGUGGAGCCAGGUGGCUACGAGGGCCCUAGUGGAGCCGGGUGACUGAGAGGGCCCUAGUGGAGCCGGGUGACUGAGAUGGCCCUAGUUGAGCAGGCUGGCUGAGAGGCCCCUAGUGGAGCCGGGUGACUGAGAGGGCCCUUUUGGAGACAGGUGGCUGAGAGGGCCCUAGUGGAGCCGGAUGGCUGAGAGGGCCCGAGUGGAGCCAGCUGACUGAGAGGGUCCAAGUGGAUCCUGGUGGCUGAGAGGGCCCUAGUGGAGCCGGCUGAGUGAGAGGGCCCUAGUGGAGAAAGCUGGCUGAGAGGGCCCUAGUAGAGCCGGGUGACUGAGAGGGCCCUAGUGGAGAAAGCUGGCUGAGAGGGCCCCAGUGGAGCAGGCUGAGUGAGAGGGCCCUAGUGGAGCCAGGUGACUUAGAGGGCCCUAGUGGAGCCGGGUGACUGAGAGGGCCCUAGUGGAGACGGCUGGCUGAGAGGGCCCUAGUGGAGCCGGGUGACUGAGAGGGCCCUUUUGGAGCCAGCUGACUGAGAGGGUCCAAAUGGAUCCUGGUGGCUGAGAGGGCCCUAGUGGAGCCAGCUGGCUGAGAGGGCCCUAGUGGAGCCAGGUGGCUGAGAGGGCCCUAGUGGAGCCAGGUGGCUGAGAGGGCCCUAGUGGAGCCGGGUGACUGAGAGGGCCCUAGUGGAGACAGGUGGCUGAGAGGGCCCUAGUGGAGCAGGCUGGCUGAGAGGCCCCUAGUGGAGCCGGGUGACUGAGAGGCCCCUUUUGGAGAGAGGUGGCUGAGAGGGCCCAAGUGGAGCAGGCUGAGUGAGAGGGCCAUAGUGGAGCCGGCUGAGUGAGAGGGCCCUAGUGGAGCCAGGUGGCUGAGAGGCCCCUAGUGGAGCCGGGUGACUGAGAGGCCCCUUUUGGAGACAGGUGGCUGAGAGGGCCCUAGUGGAGCCAGGUGGCUGAGAGGCCCCUAGUGGAGCCGGGUGACUGAGAGGGCCCUUUUGGAGACAGGUGGCUGAGAGGGCCCUAGUGGAGCCGGAUGGCUGAGAGGGCCCAAGUGGAUCCUGGUGGCUGAGAGGGCCCAAGUGGAUCCUGGUGGCUGAGAGGGCCCUAGUGGAGCCAGCUGGCUGAGAGGGCCCUAUUGGAGACAGUUGACUGAGAGGGCCCUAGUGGAGCCAGCUGGCUGAGAGGGUCCUAGUGGAGCCGGCUGGCUGAGAGGGUCCUAGUGGAGCCGGCUGGCUGAGAGGGUCCUAGUGGAGCCGGCUGAGUGAGAGGGCCCUAGUGGAGACAGGUGGCUGAGUGGGCCCUUUUGGAGACAGCUGACUGAGAGGGUCCUAGUGGAGACAGCUGACUGAGAGGGCCCUAGUGGAGCCGGAUGGCUGAGAGGGCCCUAGUGGAGCCAGCUGACUGAGAGGGUCCAAGUGGAUCCUGGUGGCUGAGAGGGUUCUAGUGGAGCCAGCUGGCUGAGAGGGCCCUAGUGGAGACAGUUGACUGAGAGGGCCCUAGUGGAGCCGGCUGGCUGAGAGGGUCCUAGUGGAGCCGGCUGGCUGAGAGGGUCCUAGUGGAGACAGGUGGCUGAGUGAGAGGGCCCUAGUGGAGACAGGUGGCUGAAAGGGCCCUAGUGGAGCAGGCUGGCUGAGAGGUCCCUAGUGGAGCCAGCUGGCUGAGAGGGUCUAUGGUGGUAAAAUUGCUGUUAUGUUUAGUGUAUCUAUGUAUUUAAUUAGUCUGUAAUAAUGUUUAUCUAGUGUAUCUAUGUAUUUAAUUAGUCUGUAAUAAUGUUUAUCCAGUGUAUCUAUGUAUUUAAUUAGUCUGUAAUAAUGUUUAUCUAGUGUAUCUAUGUAUUUAAUUAGUCUUUAAUAAUGUUUAUCCAGUGUAUCUAUGUAUUUAAUUAGUCUGUAAUAAUGUUUAUCCAGUGUAUCUAUGUAUUUAAUUAGUCUGUAAUAAUGUUUAUCUAGUGUAUCUAUGUAUUUAAUUAGUCUGUAAUAAUGUUUAUCCAGUGUAUCUCUGUAUUUAAUUAGUCUGUAAUAAUGUUUAUCCAGUGUAUCUCUGUAUUUAAUUAGUCUGUUAUAAUGUUCAUCUAGUGUAUCUCUGUAUUUAAUUAGUCUGUUAUAAUGUUCAUCUAGUGUAUCUCUGUAUUUAAUUAGUCUGUAAUAAUGUUUAUCUAGUGUAUCUCUGUAUUUAAUUAGUCUGUAAUAAUGUUUAUCCAGUGUAUCUCUGUAUUUAAUUAGUCUGUAAUAAUGUUUAUCUAGUGUAUCUAUGUAUUUAAUUAGUCUGUAAUAAUGUUUAUCUAGUGUAUCUAUGUAUUUAAUUAGUCUGUAAUAAUGUUUAUCCAGUGUAUCUAUGUAUUUAAUUAGUCUGUAAUAAUGUUUAUCCAGUGUAUCUAUGUAUUUAAUUAGUCUGUAAUAAUGUUUAUCUAGUGUAUCUAUGUAUUUAAUUAGUCUGUAAUAAUGUUUAUCUAGUGUAUCUAUAUAUUUACCUAAAGUCACAUGAUGUACUGAUGAGACUUGCUCCCUCUGCUAGAACACUUCCCCGUUGUCUACAUGACUGACUCAUGGUUCUGGACUCACAGCCAAAUGCUGUUUCUCCAUAUCCUGUUAUUUAGCAGUAGACUGAACUAAACUGUGAGAGACGAACAGGACAAAUGGUUGUGGUUCCUUUGAGAAACAGUGUUGAGACAUUGAGCACUGAGAAAUGGUGUGACAUUUCUCAACAAGACCUCACCACAAAAGUCACAAUGUGGAAAGGUGAACAUCUCUCUGCAGAGGAGAUUAUAUAUAAUUUAAUAUAUUUGUUUUCAUCUGUUUUUGUUUUCUCAAUAGUUCAGUUCCAUAGGUCAGAGGUCAAGCUGAGCUGAGCCAAUAGUGGAAGAGGUUACUGGUUGACUAUAUUCAGUUGACUGUAUGUUACUAUGUCAGCCCUCUGUCUUUUGACACCUCCCUCCCUUUAUCUCACCCUCCCCACCCCCUCCUCUCUCUUUCUCUCUCUCUUCCUGACAUAUAGCAUCAGGCCUGUUGAUCUUGACUCAAGUAACAGACCUCUAGCAUCUACACCCCUCCCUUCUCUAACAUGAGACCAAUAUUAAAUAUAAUAUAUACUCUCAUUCAUUUCCAUAGGGACAGAUACAAUCAAUCAUUGACACACUGAAUAUACAACAGUCAGAUGCAUGACACCAUCACCAAUGUUAUAACUUUCUCCGUCACUGAGCAGAUUUCAGGUCUGCUGAACGCAAACUUUAAUGUUGUGAAAAUUCUGUACAACUUCCAGGGUGUGUUUACUGUGAACACAGAGGCUGUACCCCCUUUAAGUUACAGUUAACAGUGGACAAGUAGGCUACUGUGGCUAUUUGAUCAUAAUGUAGAUCUACCAGAGUGACCUACCAUCAAAUACAAUGGAGAAAAUACAUCCCAUAACAUUUUAACAUGGAAACAGCUGUUCUAUCAUUCAGCCUACAGUAGCAGCCAAUGUGUGGUGUUCAACGUAGACCUACAUUCCAUGAGACUUUUGAAAGAAACAUGCAGGGCUAGACAUUAACCUGUUAAUCCACUCAUCCAACCGGGAUAAUAACUCACUAACUAGCAGAGGAGAUGAACAAAAUGUCCAGCAAGCAGGCCAACAGCCCGAGACCCCAAACAAUAGGAACACAAGGCUUUAUCAUGGGUUUUUACAGAAAUGUUUGGCGAUCCACUAGGAAUGCCAUGAAGAUCAACCAGUUGAUCGCGAUCAACCGAUUGGUGACCAGCUGCUCUAGAAAAUGGAGUGAAUUUCAAUCUCGUGCUUCUCGCUAUUGGCUGAUUUAUCUGCAGUUUAGAGGGAACAUUGUGUCACACCCUGAUCUGUUUCACCUGUCUUUGUGAUUAUCUCCACCCCUUCCAGGUGUAGCCCAUCUUCCCCAUUAUCCCCUGUGUAUUUAUGCCUGUGUUUUAUGUUUGUCUGAAGCCAGUUUGUACUGUUUGUUCAAGUCAACCAGUGGUUUGUGUCUGCGCCUGCUUUUUCCCAGUCUCUGUUUUCUUGUCCUCCCGGUUUUGACCCUUGCCUGUCCUGACUCUGAGCCCGCCUGCCUGACCACUCUGCCUGAGCCUGCUUGCUGAUCUGUACCUCAGCCCUCCUCUGGAUUACCGAUCUCUGCCUACCCUGAGCAUGCCUGCCGUCCUGUACCUUUGCCCCCUUACUCUGGACUAUCGACCCCUGCCUGCCUUGACCUGUCUUUGCCUGCCAAUGUUGUCUGCAUUUGGGUCUUACCUAGGUUCUAAUAACACUGACCAUCACACCUUAACUGACAUUAGUGCCUGUCCCCAGAUGGACAGUUACGCUACAGUAAAGUACAUUUACAGCUGAUCACAUCAUUGUCCUGCUUUGAGACAGAUUUUUACUGUCUGCUUCCAGCUGCAUGUUCUUUUACUAGCCCUGAAAAUGGUAAUAUAUCAAAAUAUAUCUCAGUAACUGUCACAAGUGUAUAGCACAGCAUCCUACCUGUGCUCCACAACAGGGUCAUCAAUAUCACUGCAGGUAUCAUAUCUGUCUCUAACUGGGGCUCCACUGAGUGAAACAAGUCUACUGUCAUGAAGAGAGGACUGAAGAGUGAGAAAUACUGCUUGGCUAUAUGACUUCUAACUCAUUACUUCCUUACUUCAAUUAUGUGGCAAACUGUUAAGCAAAUCAGACCAGUUAAACCCACCUACCUACAGGAAACAUUGAGAUUAGAAAAACUCCACAUGAAACUGCUGACAGAGCAGCAGUUACACAUAGUGUGUCCUGUAAUAUCUUACCUAAUUGUCAGUGCUUGACUUGUGAAAGUCACCUCUAACUGUCUGUGGUGUAGAAGCUAGAGGUCUGUUACCCAAGUCAACUCAACAGGUGUGGUAGUAAAUUAGAAAUUAGAUGCUAUUUUUUUACUUAGAGAAUUGUCUGUUAAAUGCUAUUGUUUUUUUCACUGAUACAAACUUGUCUUGUGUAACUUAGUGAUAAGCCUGGGUGUACAGCCAAGAGCUGUUUGGGUGGGACCGCAGUGUGUAACUUAGUGAUAAGCCUGGGCGUACAGCCAAGAGCUGUUUGGGUGUGACCGCAGUGUGUAACUUAGUGAUAAGCCUGGGCGUACAGCCAAGAGCUGUUUGGGUGGGACCGCAGUGUGUAACUUAGUGAUAAGCCUGGGUGUACAGCCAAGAGCUGUUUGGGUGGGACCGCAGUGUGUAACUUAGUGAUAAGCCUGGGUGUACAGCCAAGAGCUGUUUGGGUGGGACCGCAGUGUGUGACUUAGUGAUAAGCCUGGGCGUACAGCCAAGAGCUGUUUGGGUGGGACCGCAGUGUGUAACUUAGUGAUAAGCCUGGGCGUACAGCCAAGAGCUGUUUGGGUGGGACCGCAGUGUGUGACUUAGUGAUAAGCCUGGGUGUACAGCCAAGAGCUGUUUGGGUGGGACCGCAGUGUGUGACUUAGUGAUAAGCCUGGGUGUACAGCCAAGAGCUGUUUGGGUGGGACCGCAGUGUGUGACUUAGUGAUAAGCCUGGGUGUACAGCCAAGAGCUGUUUGGGUGGGACCGCAGUGUGUGACUUAGUGAUAAGCCUGGGCGUACAGCCAAGAGCUGUUUGGGUGGGACCGCAGUGUGUAACUUAGUGAUAAGCCUGGGUGUACAGCCAAGAGCUGUUUGGGUGGGACUGCAGUGUGUGACACAUCCUGAUUUUCACAAUGUGCAGGAACUCCGCUGUGUGGAAACAUGCAGAAUGGAUCAGAGAAUAGUGUGAGCUGUGGUAACGCUAGACGGCUGAGCCCUGGUGCUGUCAAUGUCAGCUAUCUUCAUCUGCACAGACAAGUGAGAAGAAGAGGUCAUUGGGGCGGGACUACCACCCUCUGUGUCUGAAGUGUCAACAGUGUCAGAGACAGUUGACCCCGGGACAACAUGCUGAGGCUAUCAACAAGGAUCUAUGUUCAACAAAACUGACAUUCAGCCAACGACCAACCAACUAGACUCAACAUUCAGCCAACCAACAUUUGACCAAUCAAGAAAUGCUCUGAAAGUCCCCCUCUUUCAGUCAAUCAUAAAACAACUACCUGGACCACAACAUUGUGUUCAAUGGAGACAACGGUUGUUCUUCAAUAAAACAGAAGCUUCUACAGUC